rnacentral:rRNA from 1 species
AACGAACGCUGGCGGCAGGCCUAACACAUGCAAGUCGAACGCCGUAGCAAUACGGAGUGGCAGACGGGUGAGUAACGCGUGGGAACCUACCUUACGGUCGGGAAUAGCUCAGGGAAACUUGGGGUAAUACCGGAUACGCCCUUACGGGGAAAGAUUUAUCGCCGUUAGAUGGGCCCGCGUAGGAUUAGCUAGUUGGUGAGGUAAUGGCUCACCAAGGCGACGAUCCUUAGCUGGUCUGAGAGGAUGAUCAGCCACACUGGGACUGAGACACGGCCCAGACUCCUACGGGAGGCAGCAGUGGGGAAUAUUGGACAAUGGGCGCAAGCCUGAUCCAGCCAUGCCGCGUGAGUGACGAAGGCCUUAGGGUUGUACAGCUCUUUUGGCGGGGAAGAUAAUGACGGUACCCGCAGAAUAAGCUCCGGCUAACUCCGUGCCAGCCGCCGCCGUAAAAC